rnacentral:rRNA from 1 species
UAAAGGCAUGGUCCUGACCUUAUUAUUAGCUUUAACCCGACUUACACAUGCAAGUCUCCGCAACCCCGUGAGUAUGCCCUUAAUCCCCCACCCGGGGACGAGGAGCGGGCAUCAGGCACAAAUUUUUAGCCCAAGACGCCUGGCCGAGCCACACCCCCAAGGGAAUUCAGCAGUGAUAAAUAUUAAGCCAUAAG